GGAAGCUAAGACGGAACUUACAAAGAUUGUUCAGGUAGACAUUUGAGAAUAAAUGUCUGUCUUGAACAAUCUUUUUAAGUUUCGUCUUAACUUU
rnacentral:pre_miRNA from 1 species